CUCAAUGAUCUUAAACGAGGUACUAAGACUAUAUCCACCUGUGAAUCUUCUGUAUCGACAUACUCUAAAGGAAACAAGCAUUCGAGGAAUGUCCAUUCCAGCUGGGUAGACCUCCUGUUACCAUUCCUGUUUCUUCACUAUGAUCCUGAGUAUUGGGGAGACAACGCAGAAGAAUUCAAACCAGAGAGAUUCUCUGAAGGAGUUUCGAAAGCAUCAAAGGAUGAAAUUGCAUUUUACCCUUUUGGUUGGGGCCCUAGAUUUUGUCUAGGCCAAAACUUUGCCUUGACUGAAGCAAAGAUGGCUCUUACUAUGAUUCUACAAAAUUUCUGGUUUGAGCUUUCACCCUCUUACACGCAUGCUCCUUGUAAUGUCAUAACUCUUCAACCACAACAUGGAGCUCCUAUUAUACUACACCAAUUAUAAGGUUUACAUAGUACUUUGGUGUCUUAGGAAGGGAAGCAACUCAGUUGAAUGAGUCACAGCAGGUUGUCCCAAUGUUUUGUUGUCAACCAGGAACAAGUUGGUGCAGUGGAGAGUGUUGUUUCUAUGCAUAAUGUUGCCAUCUGCUAUUGUAUUAAAGUGAUUAUUCCCUUUGCUUUCUUUUGGUUCUGAUGAUUGUUCAUAGUAUGUGCUUAUGAAAGCACCACCUAAUGGAGAAAGAUGCUUAUUUCCUUUAAUCUUUUAUUGUUCUCUGCUGCACUUUCUCAUCUUCCAUUGAAGGGAGAGAUUACAAGUAACUCCUGGAACUUGUCCUUUCUUUUUUGUACCCUGUAAAAUAGAUAGAUGCAUCUCAAAGAUUUGGCUUUUUAUAACUGACUUAUUAUCUGAAGACUCAAGAAAAAAAAAAAAAAAUUGGAGUUUUUUAUGGACCUUCACUGUUUAUCAGGUGCGCGAAGAACUCUGUUGUGGGUGUUCUAUGUUUUUUUUUUUUUUUUAGCCAUGAUGAUUGCAAUAAUUUAACCUCUUCAAGUUUUAAUUCUCUAAUUCUUUAACUUUUUAGAAUUGAUAUAAAUUAUAACAUAAAUAAUUAUAUUUAAAAAUUAAAAAUUAAAAAAUCUCGAGGUUUUAAGACUCACUAGUUUUAUGUCCUAUCAGAAUCCAAAAGAUUGGAACAAAACAAAAAACCAAUAGUAUUAGAUUAGGCAAGGCUAUAAACCCAAAGAAUUUGGGUUUGCAUCCUAGCCACAACUAAACUUUCUUGGACGUGUCUUUCUUUUCUUGUCUCAAGUUUCUUGAAUAAUGUUUGACACAAAAAAAAAUCAAAUUAUUGAUGGGUUUUUCUAGGGGCAAGACCUAUUAACUGGUCCUAUUAGAGAUAGAACCCACGUUACUGGGUCAUACUCGUAGUAAGAGCCAAGACUGAUGGGCUUAGUGGUGACUGAAUCCAAAGCUAUUUUGGAUUAUAUUUAUAGUUUCAACAAAAAUCAAUAAGAUAAAAGAAAAAAAAAUCAAGAGAGUAAAAAAAAAAUUAGAAUAUCUUAAAAUAUUUUAAAAAAAAUAGAUUGAGAUAAUUUUUUGUAAUUUUUUAAAUUCUAUUUUAUAUAUAAUCACAUCAAAAUAAUAAAUAAAAUAUCUUAAAAUAUUUUUUAAAAAUAGAUUGAGAUAAUUUUUUUUUAAUUUUUUAAAAUCUAUUUUAUAUAUAAUCACAUCAAAAUAAUAAAUAAAAUAUCUUAAUAUGAAUUAAGAAAAAUAUUAAUUUGAAGUGAAGAAAUAAUAAUAAUAAUAAUAAUAAUUUAUUUUACCCUUAAAAUCAAAUCUAUAUUUUUUUCUACAUCAAUAAUAUUUAUUUGAAUUUCAAUAAUAUUAAUGAAUUUAAUAAUAUUUAUAAUAGUAAUAAUAAUAUUUAACUUCUCUACCCAAUUUUUUAUAUUUUUCAAUCUUUGAAAAACAAUUUAUGCUUUCUUCGAUGAUAGUAAUAAUUUUUUUAAAAAAUCUGGUAAUGACAAUAACAAUAAUAAAAAAAAGUGAUAAUAAUUUUUAAUUUUACCCUUCAAAUCAAAUCUAUUAUUAUUUUUCAAUAUUAAAAAUAUUUUAUACAAAUUUAUUAAUUAUUAUAUGAAUACUAUUAAUUGUAAUACAAAUUAUAAUAUUUAUAAUAAAAAUAAUAGUAGGUUUAAUAUUAAUGAUAUUAAUUAUAAAAAAAUCAUAAUAUUUAUAUCACAAAUAAUAAUAUUUUUCAUACUAAUAAUAGUAAUAAUAUUUAUCAUAUUAAUAAUAGUAUUGAACUUGUUUGACCAAAGUUUUAAUAGUAAUAAGUGUUUUAAAAAAAAUUUAUUAACAAUAAUGAUAACAAUGAUAAUAAUAAUAAUUGAAAUAUUUUUUUUCAUUUUUUUUCUUUGCCCGCGCUACACUGCGGGCUUACCUUUUAUUUUAAUAAAAUAAUAUUAUAAAAAUCAAAGACCCAAAAGCGUUGGGUUUGGCUGCAACAGCAGACCCAAGAACAAUGAGUCUAGCUGCAAUGCCAUACCCAAUAAUAAUAUUUAACUUGCCUUCCAAAAUUUUUAUUUUUUAAAAUUUUAAAAAAAUUAUGGUUUUUCUUCGAUAGUAAUAAUAUAUUUUUAAAAAUAAUAAUAAUAAUAACAAUAUUUAAAACAAAAAUAAUUAUAUUUUUUAGAUUAAUACUUUAAUUAUAAUAAAAAAAUUAUAAUUAUAAUACAAAUAAUUAUAUUUAAAAACUUGGGACCCAAGAACCUUGAGUCCUGAUGCAGGACCCGUUAGCCUUGGGUCUCUGCGCCAGACCCAAGAGCUUUUGGUCCUGACAUAGCCUAAAAAAUUAGGCUCUGAUGUAGGACUUAAGAGAUUCGGGUCUGACGAAGGAUCAAUAAUCUUGGGUCAAGCAUGUUUGCAAAAUCUAAGGGAUUUAAUUUUGCGCCUAGCAACACCUUAGAUCCUUAGGUGAUGCACCCUUUCUUACCCGAGUUUCUUAGGUUUGGAAAAAAAAACUAGACUCAAGAGGAAAGAAAAAAAAAUUAUUGGUAGGUCCUGCUAAGGGCACGACCCAACACUAAUGGAUCAUGUUAAAGACAGGACCCAUGGCUAAUGGGUCCAGUAGCUAUUUUGAAGUAAAGACCAAACUUAAUUUAUUUUUCUUGGGUGUGGUUGCACAACUACACCCAAUCUCAAUAUAUUUAAAAAAAUUAAAAAAAAUACAAAAUAUAAAAAUAUUAAUUUGAAAUAAAGAAAAUAAUAAAAGAAUUUCAAAAAACUUUCAAUGUAUUUUUGAAACGCAAAACCAAACAUCCUUUAAUAAGGAAACUCGACCCAACCUGAAAUAAAAAACAAUUAUCAUAACCUAACUUUUUUAUUCCUGUUGAUUUUUUUUCUUUGCUUUUUUUGUUAAUUAAUCUAAUUAAUUAUUGCACUUUUAUGACACGACCUUAUAGCCAGACCCAUAUCUAAUAUUCUUGGGUCCGGUGUUACGGCUAUACUCACUUAAACUUGGGUCAUACAAGUUUUAAUGUUAUUAUUAAUAUUAUAAAUAUUACUUUUACGUCAGAUGUUACAGCCAAACCCAAUAUUUUUUUGUAUAAUUUUGCAAAAAUACUUAAAAUUUUUAUAUUUUUUUAUAUUUUUUAUACAAAAACAUAACCUACGGCAUCAAGCAGGUCAUGUAAGUAAUAAUUUAUUAUUAGCUGAUAUCACGUGAGAAUAAUCUUCGUGCCCUUGGGAUGCAAGGCAAAUUAGGAUUUAUAUUCUCGUUCUGUCGUUUUCACUUUUUUUUUUUUUUUUGUUCUUGAAAUCAACACACGUUAUUUUGGUGUUUGUGAAACAAUGGGACAAGAGAUGGGUUACAAGUUUGUCAAGGAAAAAUAAAAGGUAGACGUCAUUGGAAUCAAUAAAAUAAGAAAUAGUUUGGCAAUGGAGUUGAAAUCAUGUUUUUAUAAAAUUAAUUUUUUUUAUUAAAAUUUAAUAUGAUCGGUAUAUUUUGGAUCGUUUUGAUGUGUUAAUAUUAAAAAUAAUUUUUUUAAAAAAAAUUAUUAAUAUAUAUUUCAAUAUAAAAAAUUAUUUAAAAAAUAAUCACUAUUAUAUUACCAAAUAUACUAUAAAUUAAAAAAGGAAAGCAAUAAGAUCCAAGUUCAAACACGAGCUAACAAAAGCCCUAUAAAUUCUUCACCAAUCGGGUCUCAUUUCCAUCAAAUUUCAUCGAUCCCAAUGAGACAAGAGAUGGAUUUAUAUUCUCGUUCUGUCGUUUUCACUUUUUAUUUUUAUUUUUCUUGAAAUCAACAAUUUUGCUGUUUGUGAAACAAUGAGAGAUGGGUUAUAAGUUUGUCAAGGAAAAACAAAAGGUCGACGUCAUUGAAAUUAAUAAAAUAAUUAAUGUUUGGAAAGUUGAAAUUAUAUUUUUAUAAAAUUUUAAAUUUUUUUUUAUUAAAAUUUAAUGUGAUUUAUAUGUUUUAGAUCGUUUUAAUAUACUGAUAUCAAAAAUAAUUUUUAAAAAAUAAAAAUAAUUAUUGAUAUAUAUUUUAAUAUAAAAAAUUAUUUAAAAAACAACAACAACCAUACUACUAAAUAUACUCUAAAUAAAAAAAGAAAAGCAAUAAGUCCAAGUUCAAACAGGAGCUAACAAAAGCCCUAUAAAUUCUUCACCAAUCGGGUCUCAUUUCCAUCAAAUUUCAUCGAUCCCAAGUUUGCGGAAGCAGCAGUUUCCAACCAAAAAACAAAAAUGGAAGAUUUUAUUUUCAGAGGGUUUCUGUCCUCUUCUUUACUUCUAUCUCUCUAUGUUGUGUUUAGAGUUGCUCAAACUUUUUGGCUGAAGCCGAAAAGCCAAGAGAAGCGUUUGAAGAAGCAAGGGAUCAGAGGCACUUCUUACAAGCUUUUGAAUGGUGAUAAGAAAGAGUUUGCAAGGUCUUCUAAAGAAGCUAGGUCCAGGCCCAUUGCUCUAAAUCAAGAAAUUGCACCACGUGUCCUUCCAUUCUUUUAUAAAAUGGUGCAAAUUUACGGUGAGCAGCAGCUUCACAAGCUAUCUCGUUUUUUCAGAUUUUUUAAUUAUUUCUAGGAAUUCUGUUCAUUCAUAUAUUUGGUAAUCGGUAUUAUCCUGAUUUGUAAUGCGAACGAGAACAGGAAAGGUCUCCCUGUGUUGGAUGGGGACAAGACCUAGCCUGCUAUUAGCUGAUCCAGAGCUGGUGAGGUUGGUGUUAACAGACACGAGUGGUCACAUUAUAAAGCCACCGCGAAAUGCCCUUGUGGGUCUAUUACAGCUGGGAGUCUCAACCUUGGAAGGAGACAAAUGGGCCAAGCGCAGAAGGUUGAUGACACCUGCCUUCCACGCUGAGAGAUUAAGGGUAACUUCACCUACCUGAAUCUUGCAAGUUUAAACAUUCUUAAGAAAUUUUUACAGCUUGCAUUUGAAAAUUUAGAAUCUAUUUGGACUUCUUUACAUUUUAUCAAUUGACCAAUGUGCUGCAUAAGCAAAAAUUGAUCCAGAAAACAUUCAUGAAUGUCAGCAAAUGGCAAGAAGGAGUGAUAGAGAGUUAUAUAAAUUAUAUUUUGAAACCUGUGAUUGAGCUAUUGAAUUGAGAUAGUUCUAUAAUAUAACAUGGUAUUCUAUUGGAUUCAGAUGGUUUUUUGACAAGUUGAGGUGAUGGUACAGCUAUACACACCAAAACGUGUACUGUAGUCAAACUUGAGAUGGAGGCUUGAAAGAAUUCUUGAAUUAUCAUAAAGAAACUUUGCGGGAACUAGUAUAGCCAUUUAACUUGUAUACAUGUUUUAUAAGGAUUUUCGGGUUCCAGAUCUUUAGCCUUCAAUCACUAGCUUUUUAACUUUUGAAUUGAAUCAACGGUUGAUAUGGUAUAAGAGUCUAUAUACUGAUUAGUCCUGGUAUGUGAACAGGGGAUGAUCCCAGCAUUUUCAGCCUGCUGUUGUGAUCUGGUUCAGCGAUGGAAGAAAUUAGCAGGUCCUCAGGGAUCAUGUGAAUUGGAUGUUGCAAGCGAAUUUAAUAUUCUUGCAAGUGAUGUUAUAGCUCGAGCAGCCUUUGGAAGCAGCUAUGAAGAGGGAAAGAAAAUAUUUGAUCUUCAAAAAGAUCAAGUUAUUUUGGUCCUUGAAGCUUUUUAUUCCAUUUACUUCCCUGGUUUGGGGUACAUAUUAAUGCCAUUUAUCUCUUGCAAAUUCAAGCUUCUCUUGGUGCUUGUUAAAAUUUUUAACCAAUGUCUGAUAAUACAUUAAAUCCCAGUUAAGAACAUUUCAUUUCUUUGCGCUUCUCCAACAGAUUCAUACCCUCUAAAAAGAACAAGAAGAGAUACAGUAUAGACAGAGAGAUAAAAGCAGCAUUGAGAAAUAUUAUCCAUAAGAAGGAGCGGGCCAUGCAAAAUGGAGACUCAGGCGAUGCUGACUUGCUAGGCUUGCUUUUACAGGGCAGGGAUGAUGCUGAUAAUGACAUGAAAAUUGAAGAUGUAAUCGAGGAAUGCAAGUUGUUCUUCUUUGCAGGCCAAGAGACCACAGCAAACUUACUCACUUGGACAUUGAUAGUUCUAUCUAUUCAUCCUGUCUGGCAAGAGAAAGCAAGAGAAGAAGUUUUGCAGAUUUGUGGCAAGAGAACACCUGAUAUCGAUAGUAUAAAACAACUCAGAAUUGUAAGUACUUCUUUUGUUCACGCAUUAAUUUACUAUGUUUAGUGAGCUACAGUCAACUCCUUGGAAACGAUUAUAAAUCCUUGGUUUAUGACACUAAAUAAAUUUGCAGGUCUCAAUGAUCUUAAACGAGGUACUAAGACUAUAUCCACCUGUGAAUCUUCUGUAUCGACAUACUCUAAAGGAAACAAGCAUUCGAGGAAUGUCCAUUCCAGCUGGGGUAGACCUCCUGUUACCAUUCCUGUUUAUUCACUAUGAUCCUGAGUAUUGGGGAGACAACGCAGAAGAAUUCAAACCAGAGAGAUUCUCUGAAGGAGUUUCAAAAGCAUCAAAGGAUGAAAUUGCAUUUUACCCUUUUGGCUGGGGCCCUAGAUUUUGUCUAGGCCAAAACUUUGCCUUGACUGAAGCAAAGAUGGCUCUUACUAUGAUUCUACAAAAUUUCUGGUUUGAGCUUUCACCCUCUUACACGCAUGCUCCUUUUAAUGUCAUAACUCUUCAACCACAACAUGGAGCUCCUAUUAUACUACACCAAUUAUAAGGUUUACAUAGUAGUUUAGUAUCUUAUGAAGGGAAGCAACUCAGUUGAAUGAGUCACAGCAGGUUGUCCCAAUGUUUUGUUGUCAACCAGGAACAAGUUGGUGCAGUGGAGAGUGUUGUUUCUAUGCAUAAUGUUGCCAUCUGCUAUUGUAUUAAAGUGAUUAUUCCUUUUCUUUCUUGUGGUUCUGAUGAUUGUUCAUAGUAUGUGCUUAUGAAAGCACCACCUAAUGGAGAAAGAUGCUUAUUUCCUUCAAUCUUUCAUUGUUCUCUGCUGCUUUCUCAUCUUCCAUUAAAGGGAGAGAGUACAAGUAACUCCUGGAACUUGUCCUCUCCGUUUUGUACCCUGUAAAAUAGAUAGAUACAUCCCAAAGAUUUGGCCUUUUAUAACUAUGACUUGUUAUCUUAAGACUCGAAUUAAAAUGGAGAUUUUUAAGGACCUCCAUUGUUCACAAGGUGCGCGAGGAACUCUGUUUUGGGUAUCCUCUGUUUUUUUUAUGUAGCCAUGAUUGCUGUAAUUUAACCUCUUCAAUAGUUUAAUUAUCUCUGAUUUUUUAACUUUUUAGAAUUGAUACAAACUUUCAAUUUCUUCAAUUUUACCCCCGAUUUUUAUCAAUUUCACCCUUAAAGGUUAGUGCUUGUUACGGAUUGGUCCCUGAUCUCGGAUUUUUUCAAUUUAACCCCUAAUUGACCCCAAAACUUCAAUCUUCUUGCAAUUUGGCCCCCAAUUUCAAUCAAUUAACUUGGUAAAAAUUAAAUUUGAUCUUUUAAAAUUCCAAUCUUCUCAAUUAAGCUCAAAUUAAGCUCCCAAACUUAAUGUUUCACCAAUUAAGCCUAAAAUAAAAUUAAUUUGACCCCUUUAAAGUAUAAUUAAGUCCUUGCACUUACUUAAACCCUUCAAUUGGACCCAAAUUAAUUCUUAAACAUAAUUAAAAUUCAAUUUGGCCCAUGAUUAAAUCAAAUUGGCCUAUUAAAAAUUUAAUUAUGUCCUUGGACUUAAUGUUUCACCAAUUAAGCCCAAAAUAAAAUUAAUUUGACCCAUUUAAAGUAUAAUUAAGUCCUUACACUUAAUUAAAUCCUUCAAUUGGAUCCAAAUUAAUUCCUAAACAUAAUUAAAAUUCAAUUUGGCUCAUGAUUAAAUCAAAUUGGCUUAUUAAACAUUUAAUUAUAUCCUUGGACUUAAUUUUUAUGCAAAUCCAUCCAAUAAUCAUUUAACUUUACCUUCAAUUUGCAUUUUUUUUUUUAAUUUUUGGGCAUAAUGGGGUACAAUUAGGCCUUGAAUCUCCUCCAAAAAAUUGCAGCUUGAUUCCCCGGCCUACUUUCUCUAUAUUGCCAGUCUUUAUUUUAUUUUUUAUUUUUAUUUUGAAAAACAAGUUAUUUUUGGAGAAUAACCCAGAAUUGGGUUAUGACAAUAUUAAUUAAUUUAUUAACUAGAAGAAAUAUAAAUACCUCAUGCAUUUUUUAUAUAAAUAGUGAAACACCUCUUCUUCUAUUUCUUUUUUUAAAAUUUUUAAAUCUUUUUUUUUUAUAGACUCUUCUACAAUUAAAUUUGCUAAAAUUAUAUUCUUUGUUCUCCCCCCCCCCUUCAAUUUAGCCCUUUUUUUUAUUUUUUUCAUUUUAAUUUUAUUAUUUUUUCUCAAUUUCAUCAUUAGAUUUUUAUUUUUUUUUACAAUUAUCUAGCAUGGUUUUGGACUAAUCAAGUUAAUUAGAUCAUAUCGAUACAACUUUUACAUGAUUUAAUUUUAAACACGAGCCAAACAAGGAGUCGAGUGGAGAGCUUUUUCUUUUAAUUUCAUUGGUUUUUUUCUAAAAACUUUUCUCAAACUUUUUUUAUUUAUCAGGUGAGUUGUUUUUGGAUCGAAGAAGCAGAUUAGAUCAUGCCAAAAAACUAUCAUAUUAUUUAAUUUUAAAUCCGGGUUAGGCAUAAAAUUGGAUCGAAAUGCUUAUUUCCUUCAAUCUGUUAUUGUUCUCUGCUGCUUUCUCAUCUUCGAUUCAAGGGAGAGUGAAAAUAACUCCUGGAACUUGUCCUUUCCUUUUUGUACCCAGUAAAAUAGAUAGAUACAUCCCAAAGAUUUGGCUUUUUAUUACUAUGACUUACUAUCUAAAGACUAAAAAAAAAAAGGAGUUUUUUAUGGACCUUCACUGUUUAUAAGGUGCGUGAAUAACUUUGUUCUGGGUGUCCUCUGUUUUUUUUUUUAGCCAUGAUUGCAAUAAUUUAACCUCUUCAAGUUUUAAUUCUCUCUUAUUUUUUAACCUUUUAGAAUUGAUAAAAAUUAUAACACAAAUAAUUAUAUUUAAAAACUUAAAAUUAAAAAAACCUUGGAUCCUAACACAAAACUUAUUAGCCUUGGUCCUAUGUUAGAAUCCAAGAGAUUGGAUCCUAACAAAAGACCAAUAGUAUUGGGUUAGGCAAUGCUGUAGACCCAAAAAAUUUGGGUUUGCGUCCUAGCUAUACCUAAACUCCCUUGGACAUCGCCUUCUUUUUUUAAUUUGGUAAUGGCAAUAACAAUAAUAAAAAAAGUGAUAAUAAUUCUUAAUUUUACCCUUCCAAUCAAAUCUUUUAUUAUUUUUCAAUAUUAAAAAUAUUUUAUAUAAAUUUAUUAAUAAUUAUAUGAAUAAUAUUAAUUGUAAUACAAAUUAUAUUAUUUAUAAUAAAAAUAAUAGUAGGUUUAAUAUUAAUGAUAUUAAUUUUAAAACAAAUCAUAAUAUUUAUAUCAUAAAUAAUAAUAUUUUUCAUACUAAUAAUUUUAAUUAUAAUAAAAAUAAUAAUAUUUAUCAUAUUAAUAAUAGUAUUGAACUUGUCUGACCUUUAUUAACAAUAAUAAUAAUAAUUGAUAUUUUUUUUCAUUUUUCUUCUUUUCCCGCGCUAUACCGCGGACUCACCUUUUAUUUUAAUAAAAUAAUAUUAUAAAAAUCUAAGACCCAAAAGCAUUGGGUUUGGUUACAACGUCGAACCCAAGAGCAUUGAGUCUAGCUGCAACACCAAACCCUAUAAUAAUAUUUAUAAUAUUAGUAAUAAUAUUUAACUUGUCUUUCAAAAACAAAUUUAAUCUUUAAAAAAUUUUUGGUUUUUCUUUGAUAGUAAUAAUAGUUUUUUAAAAUUUAAUAAUAAUAAUAAUUAAUAUAUUAUUAUUAUUAUUAUUAACUUUACACUUCAAAUCAAAUCUAUGGUUGUUUUUCAAUAUUGAUAAUAUUUGUUUUCAAAUUUAUUAAUUAUUUUAUUAAUAAUAUUAAUUAUGAUAAAAAUAAUAAUAUUUAUAACACAAAUAAUACUAUUUUUAAUAUUAAUACUUUAAAUUAUAAUAAAAAUACUAAUAUUUAUAACAAAAAUAAUUAUAUUUUUUAGAUUAAUACUUUAAUUAUAAUAAAAAUAAUUAUAAUUAUAAUUAUAAUACAAAUAAUUAUAUUUAAAAACUUAUGACCCAAGAACCUUGAGUCAUAACGCAGGACCCAUUAACCCUAGGUCCCGACACCACACCUAAGAGCUUUUGGUCCUGACACAACCCAAAAUAUUAGGUCCUGAUGCAGGACUUAAAAGAUUCGGUUCUGAUGAAGGAUCAAUAAUCUUCGGUCAAACGGGUCUGCAAAGACCUAAAGAAUUUAAGUAUGCGCCUAGCAACACCCAAGAUCCUUAGGUGAGGCACCCUUUCCUACCCCAAGUUUCUUAGGUUUGGAAAAGAAUGCUGGACUCAAGAGAAAAGAAAAAGAAAUGAAAAAGCAAUUAUUGGUGGAUCCUGCUAAGAGCAUGACCCAACAUUGAUGGAUCAUAUUAAGGACAGGACCCACAGCUAAUGGGUUCAACGGCGGCUGGACCCAAAGCUAUUUUGAAGUGAAGACCAAACUUAAUAUAUUUCUCUUGGGUGUGGUUGUACAAUUAGACCCAAUCUCAAUAUAUUUAAAAAUAAAAUUAAAAAAAUACAAAACAUAAAAAAUAUUAAUUUGAAGUAAAGAAAACAAUAAAAGAAUUUCAAAAAACUUUCAAUGUAUUUUUGGAAAGCAAAACCAAACAUGCUUUAAUAAGGAAAUUCGACCCAACCUGAAAUGAAAAAAAUAAUUAUCGUCACCUAACUUUUGUAUAAUAUAAAACAAAAUCACAUUAAUUUAUUUUCUCUUUACACUAUGAAAAAAAAAUCAAUAAGAGAAGAAAAAAAAUUUCAAGAGAGAAAAAAAUAAAAUUAGAAAUAUCUUAAAAUAUUUUUUAAAAAUUAUAUUGAGAUAAUAUUUUUUAUUGUUUUAAAUCCAUUUUUUAUAUAAUCACAUAAAAAAUAAUACAAAAUAUCUUAAUAUGAAUUAAAGGAAAAAAAUAUUAAUUUAAAGUUAAAAAAAUAAUCUUGUUAUAAAAUUUAUUAACAAUAACAAUAACAAUAAUUGUUAUUACUUAUUAUAUUUUUUUUCAUUUUUUUUCAAAUCUGUUAUUUUUCUAUAUAGGUCUGUAGACCUAGCAACAUAGGUCUGCUACCCCUGGGGGAGCCUGCAGACUCCAGACUUGGCAUAACAAAACUCAAGCGUGCCUAGCCGUGUGGGUAUGCAACCUCUAAAGGGGUCUGUAGACCCCAAACAUGGCAAAAAAUACCCAGGGGCGGGUCUGUACCCCGCUUCCAGUUAUGCCAACCCAAGUGCGGGGUUCUGCAAAUCUAGGCAAGAGGGUCUGCGACCCUAGAGGCAAGGGUCUGCAAUCGCGAGUAGGCUUGCAGACCCCACACAUGCGAGUUUGCAGACCCACUUGCCUGUGUCGACAGACAUGCACUUUGGUUCUACCGCUCGCGCUGGUUUGCACCCACCACCUGGGUAUGCAGCCCUUGCGCGCGGUUUAACAGACUUGCCCGCCUAGGUUUGCAACCUCGUGUCCGUGCCAGUCUCAACACCAUGUUUCUGCAACUUGGGGCCUGCGGUCCCACUUGACGCGCAACCACCUAGGGCUUGGCAUCCCCAGCAUCAUGUCUGCAGCCUAGGGUUUGGAGUCCCACUUGGCAAGCGGGUACCCAGGGCUUUGUCAGCCCAGCAUCAAGUGUCUGUAGCCACACCAAAAUUAGAGCUAACCUUGGGAAGUGGAUCUGCAGCCUCAUUGUGCUCCCACCCACCAAGCAUUAUAAUUUAUAGUGAAAUCACUUAUAAUUCACAAUAACUCUUCUUAACUAGUGCAAUCCACAAAUAAAACGUUUUUAAUUCAUAAUUUCUUUCGUUGUAAUAAAAUAAUGUUAAUAUUUUUAGUUAUAGUUAAGUAAUACUCUAAAAGGCGUGGGAAAACUACUGUAGCUUUCCGACGCCUUUUACUAAUAUAUUUACUUAUUAAUAUAUUAUAUAACUGUUAUUUUAUUUUAUUUUGUUUUUUGUUUUUUUAAUGAAUUUUUUUUAUUUGAUUUAGUUUGUUAAUGUUAAUUUUUUUUUAUUUAGUUAUCAGAUUUUCAUGAUACAGAUCCCGGAUUUGAUAGGUUAACCUAAUUUGACGAGUUAACCCGGAUUUUUUUUAAUUAUUUUUUUCAUUUAAUUUAGUUUGUUAAAGUUAAUUUUCUUUCUAUUUAAUUAUCAGACUUUCAUGACACGUAUCCUAGGCUUAACGGGUUAACUUGGUUUGAUGGGUUAACUCAGUUAAUUCUGGGUAAACCCAUCAUUUGUUUUUCUAUUUAGUUAUCAAACUUUCAUGACGUGAAUCCCAGGUUUUACGGGAUAACCUGAUUUAAAGGGUUAACCCAAUUAAUUCAAUUUUUUUUCUUUUUCUUCAUGUUGAUUUUUUUUUUUAAUUAAUCUAUUUAAUUAUUACACUUUUAUAACAAGACCUUAUAGCCAUACCCACAUCCAAUAUUUUUGGGUCCGUUGUUGCAGUCAUGCUCACUUAAACUUGGAUUAUACAAGUUUAAUGUUAUUAUUAAUAUUAUCAAUAUUACUCUUACGUCAGGCUUUGCAGCUAAACCCAAGAUUUUUGGAUAUAAUUUUACAGAAAAAUUUAAAAAUUUUAAAUUUUUAUUUUUUUAUAUUUUUUAUAUAAAAAAAUAAACCGCGACAUCGCAAGGAUGAUAUACCUAGUAAUCUAUUAUUAGCGUAUAUCACGUGAGAAUAAUCUUCGUGCCCUUGGGCUGCAAGGCAAAUUAGGAUUUAUAUUCUCGUUCUGUCGUUUUCACUUUUUAUUUUUUUUGUUCUUGAAAUCAAUACACGUUAUUUUGGUUUUUCUGAAACAAUGAGACAAGAGAUGGGUUAUAAGUUUGUCAAGGAAAAACAAAAGGUCGACGUCAUUGGAAUCAAUAAAAUAAAUAAAGACAGGAAAGCAAUAAGGUUCAAGUUCAAACAGGAGCUAACAAAAGCCCUAUAAAUUCUUCACCAAUCGGGUCUCAUUUCCAUCAAAUUUCAUCGAUCCCAAGUUUGCUGAAGCAGCAGUUUCCAACCAAAAAACAAAAAUGGAAGAUUUUAUUUUCAGAGGGUUUCUGUCCUCUUCUUUACUUCUAUUCUCUAUGUUGUGUUUAGAGUUGCUCACACUUUUUGGCUGAAAGCCGAAAAGCCAAGAGAAGCGUUUGAGAAGCAAGGGAUCAGAGGCACUUCUUACAAGCUUUUGAAUGGUGAUAAGAAAGAGUUUGCAAGGUCUUCUAAAGAAGCUAGGUCCAGGCCCAUUGCUCUAAAUCAAGAAAUUGCACCACGUGUCCUUCCAUUCUUUUAUAAAAUGGUGCAAAUUUACGGUGAGCAGCAGCUUCACAAGCUAUCUCAUUUUUUCAGAUUUUUUUAUUAUUUCUAGGAAUUUCUGUUCAUACAUUAUUUGGUAAUCGGUAUUAUCCUGAUUUGUAAUGCGAACGAGAACAGGAAAGGUCUCCCUGUGUUGGAUGGGGACAAGACCUAGCCUGCUAUUAGCUGAUCCAGAGCUGGUGAGGUUGGUGUUAACAGACACGAGUGGUCACAUUAUAAAGCCACCGCGAAAUGCCCUUGUGGGUCUGUUACAGCGGGGAGUCUCAACCUUGGAAGGAGACAAAUGGGCCAAGCGCAGAAGGUUGAUGACACCUGCCUUCACGCUGAGAGAUUAAGGGUAACUUCACCUACCUGAAUCUUGCAAGUUUAAACAUUCUUAAGAAAUUUUUACAGCUUGCAUUUGAAAAUUUAGAAUCUAUUUGGACUUCUUUACAUUUUAUCAAUUGACCAAUGUGCUGCAUAAGCAAAAAUUGAUCCAGAAAACAUUCAUGAAUGUCAGCAAAUGGCAAGAAGGAGUGAUAGAGAGUUAUAUAAAUUAUAUUUUGAAACCUGUGAUUGAGCUAUUGAAUUGAGAUAGUUCUAUAAUAUAACAUGGUAUUCUAUUGGAUUCAGUUGGUUUUUUGACAAGUUGAGGUGAUGGUACAGCUAUACACACCAAAACGUGUACUGUAGUCAAACUUGAGAUGGAGGCUUGAAAGAAUUCUUGAAUUAUCAUAAAGAAACUUUGCGGGAACUAGUAUAUCCAUUUAACUUGUAUGCGAUGUUUUAUAAGGAUUUUCGGAUUCCAGAUCUUUAGCCUUCAAUCACUAGCUUUUUAACUUUUGAAUUUCAAUCACUAGCUUUUUAACUUUUGAUUGAAUCAACGUUUGAUGGUAUUGGGCUGGUUUGUGAACAGGGGAUGAUCCCAGCAUUUUCAGCCUGCUGUUGUGAUCUGGUUCAGCUGCAGGUCCUCAGGGAUCAUGUGAAUUGGAUGUUGCAAGCGAAUUUAAUAUUCUUGCAAGUGAUGUUAUAGCUCGAGCAGCCUUUGGAAGCAGCUAUGAAGAGGGAAAGAAAUAUUUGAUCUUCAAAAGGAUCAAGUUAUUUUGGCCCUUGAAGCUUUUUUUCCAUUUACUUCCCUGGUUUGGGGUAUUAAUGCCAAUCUCUUGCAAAUUCAAGCUUCUCUUGGUGCUUGUUAAAAUUUUUAACCAAUGUCUGAUACAUUAAAUCCCAGUUAACAACAUUUCAUUUCUUUGCGCUUCUCCAACAGAUUCAUACCCUCUAAAAAGAACAAGAAGAGAUACAGUAUAGACAGAGAGAUAAAAGCAGCAUUGAGAAAUAUUAUCCAUAAGAAGGAGCGGGCCAUGCAAAAUGGAGACUCAGGCGAUGCUGACUUGCUAGGCUUGCUUUUACAGGGCAGGGAUGAUGCUGAUAAUGACAUGAAAAUUGAAGAUGUAAUCGAGGAAUGCAAGUUGUUCUUCUUUGCAGGCCAAGAGACCACAGCAAAUUUACUCACCUGGACAUUGAUAGUUCUAUCUAUGCAUCCAGUCUGGCAAGAGAAAGCAAGAGAAGAAGUUUUGCAUAUUUGUGGCAACAGAGCACCUGAUAUCGAUAGUAUAAAACAACUCAGAAUUGUAAGUACUUCUUUUGUUCACGCAUUAAUUUAUCAUGUUUUGUAAGCUACAGUCAACUCCUUGGAAACGAUUAUAAAUCCCUGGUUUAUGAAACUAAAUAAAUUUGCAGGUCUCAAUGAUCUUAAACGAGGUACUAAGACUAUAUCCACCUGUGAAUCUUCUGUAUCGACAUACUCUAAAGGAAACAAGCAUUCGAGGAAUGUCCAUUCCAGCUGGAGUAGACCUCCUGUUACCAUUCCUGUUUCUUCACUAUGAUCCUGAGUAUUGGGGAGACAACGCAGAAGAAUUCAAACCAGAGAGAUUCUCUGAAGGAGUUUCGAAAGCAUCAAAGGAUGAAAUUGCAUUUUACCCUUUUGGUUGGGGCCCUAGAUUUUGUCUAGGCCAAAACUUUGCCUUGACUGAAGCAAAGAUGGCUCUUACUAUGAUUCUACAAAAUUUCUGGUUUGAGCUUUCACCCUCUUACACGCAUGCUCCUUGUAAUGUCAUAACUCUUCAACCACAACAUGGAGCUCCUAUUAUACUACACCAAUUAUAAGGUUUACAUAGUACUUUGGUGUCUUAGGAAGGGAAGCAACUCAGUUGAAUGAGUCACAGCAGGUUGUCCCAAUGUUUUGUUGUCAACCAGGAACAAGUUGGUGCAGUGGAGAGUGUUGUUUCUAUGCAUAAUGUUGCCAUCUGCUAUUGUAUUAAAGUGAUUAUUCCCUUUGCUUUCUUUUGGUUCUGAUGAUUGUUCAUAGUUUGUGCUUCUGAAAACACCACCUAAUGGAGAAAGAUGCUUAUUUCCUUCAAUCUUUUAUUGUUCUCUGCUGCUUUCUCAUCUUCCAUUCAAGGGAGAGAGCACAAGUAACUCCUGGAACUUGUCCUUUCCUUUUUGUACCCAGUAAAAUAGAUAGAUACAUCCCAAAGAUUUGGCUUUUUAUUACUAUGACUUGUUAUAUUAAGACUCGAAUUAAAAUGGAGAUUUUUAUGGACCUCCACUGCUCAUAAGGUGCGUGAGGAACUGUGUUUUGGGUAUCCUCUGUUUUUUUUAUGUAGCCAUGAUUGCUGUAAUUUAACCUCUUCAAUAGUUUAAUUGUCUCUGAUUUUUUAACUUUUUAGAAUUGAUACAAAUUAAAACAAUCUUUGAUUGAAUCCUAAACUUUUUUAACUUUUUUAUGUAGCCAUGAUUGCUGUAGUUUAAUUGUCUCUAAACUUGAUUUUUUUUAAUAGAAUCCUUGAUUGAAUCGAUAAACUAUUAAAAGUUAAAUUAAAUUUUUAAACGUAAUUAAUUCUUACUAUUUAUAUCUGACUUUUAAACUUUUUUUUUCAAUUAAGUUUUUAAUUAAACCCAUUAAAAAUUUAAUUAAAACCUUAAAUUUAAUUAAUUCUUCUAAUACUGGUUAAGUUGGAUUUUAACCUUCACUUUCUUUCCGGUAAGUCUUUCUUUAGCUCAUCAAAUUAAAAUAUCAUAGUAUGGUUAUUUUGGUUUGUUGCAACUUGAGGACUUAUCUCCUCGUGUCUUGAAAAUAUUUUUGUAUUUUAAAUUUUGAAAUGUUUUUAUUUUUGAAUGCAAUUAACAUGAACAGUGCAAGAAAAGCAAGGAAUCCUUGCUUUUCUUUAACUGCGUUUUCAAAGCAAAAAAUAAGUGGGAUCCAUGAACAUUACAUGACUUUUUUCCUUAACCAAAUAGUUGCAAACUGCGUUUUAAUUAAAACGCAGCCGCAACCGCAUAAACAAACGGGCUCUUAAUUUGACCCGGUGAAAAACAUAGGUUGACUCGAUGUAAAACCCAAUCGACCUGGUCCAUUUUCAUUGAAUCAAAAUAUCAUAGUCUGAUUAUUCUGGUUUGUUGCAGCUCAAGAGCUUAUCUCCUCGUAUCUUGAAAAUAUUUUUUUAUUUUUAAAUAAAAAAAUAUAUUAUUUGUAAAAAAAACUUUUUUGGGGAUCCAAAAUUGAGUUGUGACAUCAUUAUGCAAUUUUUACUCUAAAAUAAAAAAAAUUAAAAAUUAAAAAAAUUGAAAGUUCAAGGCUUUGAUCCUAGUUAUAAAAUCUAAACUAGUUCGAAAGGUUUACUCGAGACUUGGUUAACCUGAAGCAUGGACUAGAUUGAGUUAAACAAACAGAAGUUAGUUAAUUUGACCCGGUUAAAAACAUAGGUUUACUCGAGGUAAAACUCAAUCGAUCUAGUCCUAAAUUUAUUGAUGUUUUUUCAAACAAAAAAAAAAAAUCAAAACAGCACUAUUUUAGUUAUUUUUUAAAAAUUAAAUCAAUAUGAUUUGACCUUUAUGGUCUAUGACUAGAACUUUGCUCCCAGUUAAAUUUUAGAACUAUGACUUAUUAUCUUAAUGGAUAUUUGAGAGUAUGGUAAUGGUUAUUUUUUAAAGUGUUUUUUGUUCGAAAAUAUAUUAAAAUAUUUUUUUAAAAUUAUUUUUGACAUCAAAACGAUAUGAAAAAAAAGCAUCAAUAAUUUAAAGUAAAAAAAUAAAAAAUAUAUUUAAAAAAAACAUUUUUAAAACAUAAAAUUUGUUUCUAAUGGAUCUUCACUGUCGAUUUGAACAGUGAAUCUGCGCAAGGAACUCAAUUUUGGACGUACUCGGAAGGUUGGGUGAGCAGAUCGGAGAAUGGAUGGAUUCAAAUUACAAAGCUGAUGUGAGCAGCUUGGACAAUAGCAAGUGGUGGGCUCAUUUUACUGCGAGGCGAUUUUUCCAGCCUGCCUGUGGUCCUCUUGCAAGUGGAUUGUAUUCCACUAGGGGUGUGCCGCGUGUUUGCGUGUGUGAGAGGGGAAGAUUCCGGUGACUUUUCCAAGUGAAAAAUGUGUCUAUGAUAAAUCAAUAUAUAUCACUUAUGUUUUUGUCAUAAAUGAAAAAAAAUAUUUAAAAGAUAUUUGAAAUCAUAUUCAUUAAUUUAUUAACUAGAAGAAAUAUAAAUACCUCAUGCAUUUUUUUAUAUAAAUAGUGAACCAUCUCUUCUUCUUUUUUUUUUUUUUAAUUUUUAAAUCUUUUCUUUUGAUAGACUCUUCUACAGUUAAAUUUGAUAAAAUUAUAUUCUUUUUUCUUUUUCCCCCCUUCAAUUUAGCUCUCUUUUUUUUAAUUUUAAUUUUAUUAUUUUUUCUCAAUUUCAUUGUUAGAUUUUUUUUUACAAUUAUCUAGCUUGGUUUUAGACUAAUCAAGUUAAUUAGAUCGUGUCGAUACAAUGUUUACACGGUUUAAUUUUAAAUACGAGUCAAACAACGAGUCGAGUUGAGAGUUUUUUCUUUUAAUUUCAUUGAGUUUUUUAAAAAAAUAUUUCUCAAACUUUUUUUAUUGGUCAGAUGAGUUGUUUUUGGAUCGAAAAAGUAGAUUAGAUUAUGCCAAAAAAACUAUCAUAUUAUUUAAUUUUAAACCAAAAUUAAACAUAAAAUUGGGUAGGAAUGCUUAUUUCCUUCGAUCUGUUAUUGUUCUCUGCUGCUUUCUCAUCUUCCAUUCAAGGGAGAGAGUACAAGUAACUCCUGGAACUUGUCCUUUCCUUUUUGUACCCAGUAAAAUAGAUAGAUACAUCCCAAAGAUUUGGCUUUUUAUUACUAUGACUUGUUAUCUGAAGACUCAAAAGAAAAAGGAGUUUUUUAUGGACCUUCAUUGUUUAUAAGGUGAGCGAAGAACUCUGUUCUGGGUGUCCUCUGUUUUUUUUUUUUUAGCCAUGAUGAUUGCAAUAAUUUAAUCUCUUCAAGUUUUAAUUCUCUCUCAUUUUUUAACUUUUUAGAAUUGAUAUAAAUUAUAAUACAAAUAAUUAUAUUUAGAAACUUAAAAUUAAAAAAACCUUGAAUUCUAAUGCAAAACUCAUUAGCCUUGGUCCUGUGUUAGGAUCCAAGAGAUUGGAUCCUAACAAAAGACCAGUAAUAUUGGGUUAGGCAAGGCUAGAGACCCAAGAAAUUUGGGUUUGCGUCCUAACCAAACCUAAACUUCUUUGGACGUCGCUUUUUUUUUCUGCCUCAAGUUUCUUGAAUCUAAAAAAAAAUGUCUGACCCAAAAAAAAGGAAAAAAAAAUAAAAUCAAAUUACUGAUGGAUCCUUCUAGGGGCAAGACCCGUCAACUAGUCCUGCUAGAGAUAGAACACACGCUGAUGGGUCAUGCUCGCAGCAAGAGUCAAGAUUUAUAGGCUUGGUGGCGGCUGGACCUAAAGCUAUUUUAGAUCAUAUUUAUAGUUUCAUCAAAAAUCAAUAAGAGAAAAAAAAAAAAAACAAGAGAGUAAAAACUAAAAUUGAAAAUAUCUUAAAAUAUUUUUUAAAAAAUAUAUUGAGAUAAUUUUUUAAAUUUUUUUUAAAAUAUAAUUUAUAUAUAAUCACAUCAAAAUAAUAAUAAAAAUAUCUUAAUAUGAAUUAAGGAAAAUAUUAAUUUGAAGUGAAGAAAAAAUAAAUAAUAAUAAUAAUUGAUUUUACCAUUAAAAUCAAAUCUAUGCUUUUUCUAUAGCAAUAAUAUUUAUUUUAAGUUCAAUAAUAUUAAUCAAUUUAAUAAUAUUUAUAAUAUUAAUAAUAAUAUUUAACUUCUCUGCCUAAUUUUAUAUAUUUUCAAUCUUUUAAAAACAAUUUAUGCUUUCUUCGAUGAUAGUAAUAAUUGUUUUUUUUUAAAUUUGGUAAUGGCAAUAACAAUAACAAAAAAGUGAUAAUAAUUCUUAAUUUUACCCUGCAAAUCAAAUAUUUUAUUAUUUUUCAAUAUUAAAAAUAUUUUAUAUAAAUUUAUUAAUUAUUAUAUGAAUAAUAUUAAUUGUAAUACAAAUUAUAUUAUUUAUAAUAAAAAAUAAUAGUAGGUUUAAUAUUAAUGAUAUUAAUUAUAAACAAAUCAUAAUAUUUAUAUCACAAAUAAUAAUAUUUUUCAUAAUAAUAAUUAUAAUUAUAAUAAAAAUAAAAAUAUUUAAAAUACAAAUAAUAAUAAUAUUUAUCAUAUUAAUAAUAGUAUUGAACUUUAUUAACAAUAAUGAUAACAAUAAUAAUAAUAAUUGAUAUUUUUUUUCAUUUUUCUUCUUUGCUCGUGCUACACCGCGGGCUCACCUUUUAUUUUAUUAAAAUAAUAUUAUAAAAAUCUAAGACCCAAAAGCGUUGGGUUUGGCUACUACGUCGGACCCAAGAGCAUUGAGUCUAGCUGCAACACCAAACCCAAUAAUAAUAUUUAUAAUAUUAGUAAUAAUAUUUAACUUGUCUUCCAAAAGUUUUUUUUUAAUCUUUAAAAAAAUUAUGGUUUUUCUUCGAUAGUAAUAAUAGUUUUUAAAAAUUUAAUAAUAAUAAUAAUUAAUAUAUUAUUAUUAUUAUUAUUAUUAUUAACUUUACACUUCAAAUCAAAUCUAUGGUUGUUUUUCAAUAUUGAUAAUAUUUUUUUUUCAAAUUUAUUAAUAAUAUUAUUUAUGAUAAAAAUAAUAAUAUCUAUAACACAAAUAAUACUAUUUUUAAUAUUAAUACUUUUAAUUAUAAUAAAAAUACUAAUAUUUAUAACAAAAAUAAUUAAUUUUUUAGAUUAAUACUUUAAUUAUAAUAAAAAUAAUUAUAAUUAUAAUACAAAUAAUUAUAUUUAAAAACUUAGGACCCAAGACCCUUGAGUCCUAACACAGGAUCCUUAACCCUGGGUUCCGACGUCACACCCAAGAGCUUUUGGUCCUGACACAGCCCAAAACAUUGGGUCCUAAUGCAGGACUCAAGAGAUUCGGUUCUGACGAAGAAUCAAUAAUCUUUGAUCAAGCGGGUCUGUAAAGACCUAAAGGAUUUAAGUCUGCGCCUAGCCACACCUAAGAUCCUUGGGUGAGACACCCUUUCCUACCCCAAGUUUCUUGGAUUUGAAAAAGAAUGCCGAACUCAACAAGAAAGAAAACAAAAUGAAAAACAAUUAUUGGUGGAUCCUGCUAGGGGCAUGACCCAACACUGAUGGAUCAUGUUAAGGAUAGGACCCAUGGCUAAUGGGUCCAGUGGUGGCUGGACCCAAAGCUAUUUUGAAGUAAAGACCAAACUUCAUAUAUUUGUUUUGGAUGUGGUUGUACAACGACACCCAAUCUCAAUAUAUUUAAAAAUAAAAUUUAAAAAAUACAAAACAUAAAAAAUAUUAAUUUGAAGUAAAGAAAACAAUAAAAGAAUUUCAAAAAACAUUCAAUGUAUUUUUGGAACGCAAAACGAAACAUGCUUUAAUAAGGAAAUUCGACCCAACCUGAAAUGAAAAAACAAUUAUCAUCACCUAACUUUUGUAUAAUAUAAAACAAAAUCACAUUAAUUUAUUUUCUCUUUACAGUAUGAAAAAAAAAUCAAUAAGAGAAAAGAGAAAAAAUUUCAAGAGAGAAAAAAAUUAAAAUUAGAAAUAUCUUAAAAUAUUUUUUAAAAAAUAUAUUGAGAUAAUAAUUUUUAUUGUUUUAAAUCUAUUUUUUAUAUAAUCACAUAAAAAAUAAUACAAAAUAUUUUAAUAUGAAUUAAAGGAAAAAUAUUAAUUUAAAGUUAAAAAAAUAAUCUUGUUAUAAAAUUUAUUAACAAUAACAAUAACAAAAUUGUUAUUACUUAUUAUUUUUUUUUUCUUUUUUUUUUCAAAUCUGUUAUUUUUCUAUACGGGUCUGUAGACCCAGCAGCAUGGAUCUACUACCCCUGGGGGAGUCUGCAGACUCCAGACUUGGCAGAACAAAACCCAGGCGUGCCUAGCCGCGUGGUUAUGCAACCCUUGAGGGGGUCUGUAGACCCCAAACAUGACAAAAAAUACCCAAGGGCGGGUCUGAACCUCGCUCCCGACUAUGCACACCUAAGUGCGGGGUUUUGCAAACCUAGGCGAGAGGGUUUGCGACCCUAAAGGCGAGGGUCUGCAAUCGCGAGUGGGCUUGCAAACCCAUACACGCGGGUGUGCAAACCCACUUGCCUGUGUCUACAGCCAUGCACUUUGGUUAUGUCGCUCGUGUUGGUCUGCACCCACCACCUAGGUAUGCAGCCCUUGUGCGCGGUUCAACAGACCUGCUCGCCUAGGUUUGCAACCUUGUGCCCGUGCCAGUCCCAACACCAUGUUUCUGCAACUUGGAGCCUACAGUCCCACUUGGCACGCAGGCACCUAGGGCUUGACAUCCCUAGCAUCAUGUCUGCAGCCUAGGGUUUGGAGUCCCACUUAGCAAGCAGGUACCCAGGGCUUGCCAGCCCCAGCGUUAAGUGUCUGCAGCUGCACCAAAAUUAGAACUAACCCAGGGAGUGGAUCUGCAACCUCAUGAUGCUCCCACCCACCAAGCAUUAUAAUUUACAGUGAAAUCACUUAUAAUACACAAUAACUCUUCUUAACUAGUGUAAUCCACAAAUAAAAUGUUUUUAAUUCAUAAUUUCUUCUGCUGUAAUAAAAUAUUAUUAUUAUUUUUAGUUAUAGUUAAUUGAUAACUUCAGCAGCAAGACCAUUAAGUAAUACUCUAAAAGGCGUGUGAAAACUAUUGUAGCUUUCCCACACCUUUUACUAAUAUAUUUACUUAUUAAUAUAUUAUAUUAUUAUAAUUAUUAUAUUAUAAUUAUAAUUAUAAUAAUUAUUAUAUUAUAUUAUAUAACUGUUUUUUUUUAAUGAUUUUUUUGUUUGAUUUAAUUUGUUAAUGUUAAAUUUUUUUAUUUAGUUAUCAGAUUUUCAUGAUACGGAUCUCGGGUUUGAUGGGUUAACCUGAUUUGACGAGUUAACCCGGAUUUUUUUUUAAUUAUUUUUUUUUCAUUUAGUUUAGUUUGUUAAAGUUAAUUUUCUUUAUAUUUAAUUAUCAGACUUUCAUGACACGUAUCUUGGGCUUGACGAGUUAACUUGGUUUGAUGGGUUAACCCAGUUAAUUUUGGGUAAACCUGUCAUUUGCUUUCUAUUUAGUUAUCAAACUUUCAUGACGCGAAUUCCAGGUUUUACGGGAUAACUUGGUUUAGAGGGUUAACUCAAUUAAUUCAAAAAAAAAUUUCUUUUUCUUUAUUAGUUGUUUUCUUCCUGUUGAUUUUUUUUAUUUGUUUUUUUUAAUCCAUCUAUUUAAUUAUUACACUUUUAUGACACGAUCUUAUAGCCAGACCCACAUCCAAUAUUUUUGGAUCCAGUGUUGCAGCUAGGCUUACUUAAACUUGGGUUAUGCAAGUUUAAUGUUAUUAUUAAUAUUAUAGAUAUUACUUUUACGUUAGGCGUUGCAACAAAACCCAAGAUUCUUGGGUAUAGCUUUACAAAAAAAUCCAAGAUUUUUAAAUCUUUGUUUUUUUAUAUAUUUUUUUAUAAAAAAAUAUAAUUUGUGGUAUCGGUCGGGUCAUGGAACUAGUAAUCUAUUAUUAGCUGAUAUCACGUGAGAAUAAUCUUCGUGCCCUUGGGCUGCAAGGCAAAUUAGGAUUUAUAUUAUCGUUCUGUCGUUUUCACUUUUUAUUUUUUUUGUUCUUCAAAUCAACACACGUUAUUUUGGUGUUUGUUAAACAAUGGGACAAGAGAUGGGUUAUAAGUUUGUCAAGGAAAAACAAAAGGUCGACGUCAUUGGAAUCAAUAAAAUAAGUAACCAUUUGGGAACGAUAUUGAAAUAUGUUUUUAUAAAAUUUAAAUAUUUUUUUAAUUAAAAUUUAAUAUAAUUUAUAUAUUUUCGUUUUGAUAUGUUAUAUCAAAAAUAAUUUUUUAAAAAUAAAAAAAUAUCAUUAACAUACAUUUUAACAUAAAAAAUUAUUUAAAAAAAAAAUACUAUCAUACAGCCAACCAUACUCUACAGGAGCUAACAAAAACCCUAUAAAUUCUUCACCAAUCGGGUCUCAUUUCCAUCAAAUUUCAUCGAUCCCAAGUUUGCUGAAGCAGCAGUUUCCAACCAAAAAACAAAAAUGGAAGAUUUUAUUUUAAGAGGGUUUCUGUCCUCUUCUUUACUUCUAUCUCUCUAUGUUGUGUUUAGAGUUAACCUGGUUUGAAGGGUUAACUCAGUUAAUUUAUAUUUUUUUUUAUUAGUUAUUUUCUUCAUGCUGGUUUUUUUCCUAUAAUUUUUUUUUUCUUAAUUUAUUUAAUUAUCAUACUUUUAUGAUAUGAUCUUGCAGCUAGAUCCACAUUCAAGGUUAUUGAGUCUGGUAUUGCAGCCAAAUCCAUUUAAACUUGAAUCAUAUAAGUUUAAUAUUAUUAUUAAUAUUAUAAAUAUUAUUUUUAGGUCAGAUAUUGCAAUCAAAUCUAAGAUUCUUGGGUAUAGUUUUACAAAAAUAUCUAAUACUUUUAAAUUUUAUUUUUUUAUAUAGAAAAAUUUAUCCAUAGCAUCGCGGAAGUUAUCUAAGUAGUACUCUAUUAUUAGCGGAUAUGACGUGAGAAUAAUCUUCGGAGCCUCGGGCUGCAAGGCAUGUCAGGAUUUAUAUUCCCGUUCUGUCGUUUUCAUUUUUUUGUUUUUUUUGUACUUGAAAUCAACACACGUGAUUUUGGUGUUUGUGAAACAACGAGUCAAGAGAUGGGUUAAGUUUGUCAAGAUAAAACAAAAGGCUGUCGUGGGCUUGUGGUGUGAUCUUCUUUUUUUCUCCUUGGAUUCUUGAUGCUUUUUAGGUGGUGUUUUAUAAUAAUGAUUAUUUUUUAAUAUAUGUUUUAUUUAAAAAUAUAUUAAAAUAAAUUUUUUAUUUUAAAAAAUUAUUUUUAACAUUAAUUAAUCAAAAUAAUAUAAAAAUAUUAAAUAAAAAAAUUAAAAUUUUUAUAAAAACAUUAUAUUUUUAAAAGUCACUGACCAAUAAUUCUACAUUGACAGGUCAGAAUUAUUUGUACUAAAACAUCAAAGUUAUCACAUCAACAUAAUUAAAAAUUGUUGAAAAAAUUCAUUUUAAAAUAAUUUAAUUUUUUUAUAUAAAAAACAUGUAUUAAUCAUGUAAUUCAUUGGCUAACAGCAAGUGUUUUUUUUUUUUUUUUCUAGAUUUUGAUAUCUAAAAGUUUACUAGAUCCUAACUAAUCAAAUCAAACUAUAUUAAUUUAAUAAAAAAUAAUUAUAAUUUAAUUAUAAUAUACUCAAUUUACCAUACUCCAAGUCAAACACUUACUUAAUAAUAAUAAACGUCCAAUCACUUGACUAAUCACCAUUUUCGGUUGGUGAUAAAUGUGUUUGUUUGAAAAUGUGUUUAGGAUAUUUUUUAAAAUAUUUUUAAUUAAAAAAUAUAUUAAAUGAUAUUUUUUUAUUUUUAAAAAAUUAAUUUUUAUUUUAAUGCAUUAAAAUGAUGUGAAAAAUCAAAAAUAUAUUAAUUUUUUUAAAAAAAUAACAGUGAGAUAGCACUAUAAAUUUCAUCCACCCCAGGUAUGCUGAAGCAGCAGUUUCCAACCAAACAACCAAAAAUGGAAGAUUUUAUUUUCAGAGGGUUUCUGUCCUCUUCUUUACUUCUAUCUCUCUAUGUUGUGUUUAGAGUUGCUCACACUUUUUGGCUAAAGCCGAGAAGCCAAGAGAAGCGUUUGAGGAAGCAAGGGAUCAGAGGCACUUCUUACAAGCUUUUGAAUGGUGAUAUGAAAGAGUUUGCAAGGUCUUCUAAAGAAGCUAGGUCCAGGCCCAUUGCUCUAAAUCAAGAAAUUGCACCACGUGUCCUUCCAUUCUUUUAUAAAAUGGUGCAAAUUUACGGUGAGCAGCAGCUUCACAGGCUAUCUCAUUUUUUCAGAUUUUUUUUUAUUAUUUUUAGGAAUUUCUGUUCAUACAUAUACUUGGUAAUCGGUAUUAUCCUGAUUUGUAAUGCGAACGAGAACAGGAAAGGUCUCCCUGUGUUGGAUGGGGACAAGACCUAGCCUGCUAUUAGCUGAUCCAGAGCUGGUGAGGUUGGUGUUAACAGACACGAGUGGUCACAUUAUAAAGCAACCGCGAAAUGCCCUUGUGGGUCUGUUAAACCUGGGAGUCUCAACCUUGGAAGGAGACAAAUGGGCCAAGCGCAGAAGGUUGAUGACACCUGCCUUCCACGCUGAGAGAUUAAGGGUAACUUCACCUACCUGAAUCUUGCAAGUUUAAACAUUCUUAAGAAAUUUUUACAGCUUGCAUUUGAAAGUUUAGAAUCUAUUCGGACUUCUUUACAUUUUAUCAAUUGACCAAUGUGCUGCAUAAGCAAAAACUGAUCCAGAAAACAUUCAUCAAUGUAAGCAUAUGUCAAGAAGGAGUGAUAGAGAGUUUCAUAAAUCAUAUUUUGGAACCUUUGCUUUAGCUAUUGGAUUGAGGUAGUUCUAUGACAUAGUAUUUUAUGGAUUAAGAUGGUUCUUUUACAAGUUGAGGAGAUGGUACAGCUAUACACACCAAAACGGUACUGUAGUCAAACUUGAGAUGUUUUUAUAAGGAUUUUCGGAUUCCAGAUCUUUAGCCUUCAAUCACUAGCUUUUUUAACUUUUGAAUUGAAUCAACGUUUGAUAUGGUAUUAGAGUCUAUAUGCUGAUUAGUGCUGGUAUGUGAACAGGGGAUGAUCCCAGCAUUUUCAGCCUGCUGUUGUGAUCUGGUUCAGCGAUGGAAGAAAUUAGCAGGUCCUCAGGGAUCAUGUGAAUUGGAUGUUGCACGCGAAUUUAAUAUUCUUGCAAGUGAUGUUAUAGCUCGAGCAGCCUUUGGAAGCAGCUAUGAAGAGGGAAAGAAAAUAUUUGAUCUUCAAAAGGAUCAAGUUAUUUUGGCCCUUGAAGCUUUUUAUUCCAUUUACUUCCCUGGUUUGAGGUACAUAUUAAUGCCAUUUAUCUCUUGCAAAUUCAAGCUUCUCUUGGUGCUUGUUAAAAUUUUUAACCAAUGUCUGAUAAUACAUUAAAUCCCAGUUAACAACAUUUCAUUUCUUUGCGCUUCUCCAACAGAUUCAUACCCUCUAAAAAGAACAAGAAGAGAUACAGUAUAGACAGAGAGAUAAAAGCAGCAUUGAGAAAUAUUAUCCAUAAGAAGGAGCGGGCCAUGCAAAAUGGAGACUCAGGCGAUGCUGACUUGCUAGGCUUGCUUUUACAGGGCAGGGAUGAUGCUGAUAAUGACAUGAAAAUUGAAGAUGUAAUCGAGGAAUGCAAGUUGUUCUUCUUUGCAGGCCAAGAGACCACAGCAAACUUACUCACUUGGACAUUGAUAGUUCUAUCUAUGCAUCCAGUCUGGCAAGAGAAAGCAAGAGAAGAAGUUUUGCAGAUUUGUGGCAAGAGAACACCUGAUAUCGAUAGUAAAAACAACUCAGAAUUGUAAGUACUUCUUUUGUUCACGCAUUAAUUUACAUGUUUUGUAGCUACAGUCAACUCCUUGGAAACGAUUAUAAAUCCUUGGUUUAUGAAACUAAAUAAAUUUGCAGGUCUCAAUGAUCUUAAACGAGGUACUAAGACUAUAUCCACCUGUGAAUCUUCUGUAUCGACAUACUCUAAAGGAAACAAGCAUUCGAGGAAUGUCCAUUCCAGCUGGGUAGACCUCCUGUUACCAUUCCUGUUUCUUCACUAUGAUCCUGAGUAUUGGGGAGACAACGCAGAAGAAUUCAAACCAGAGAGAUUCUCUGAAGGAGUUUCGAAAGCAUCAAAGGAUGAAAUUGCAUUUUACCCUUUUGGUUGGGG
rnacentral:lncRNA from 1 species